AUAUAGGCUCCAUCCUUCGAUGUUAUACUCCACACACAGACACACACACACACACACUCACAAUGAAGAAGUAUCCCAAGAGAGAAGUUGAGAUAUCCACCACCGCAAACAGCCGCAAAAUGGCGAACGGAUGAGUUUGAGAGAAUAGGUGCGUGUGCUUUGCGUGUUGCUGUAUUCUGUUACUCUAGGUUUGCUCGACAUCAGUCAACCAGCUGUUAAUACAGGUGUCAACCCAACCCGGUGUGUGUGCGUGUGUUAGAUGGAUAUCCGUUUCAAGCGAAACUUCUACUUCCACCAUUGCUACCUAAGUCUACUUUAUCAGAUGGCAAACGUAGCAUUAUCGCUCACAGUGCCUACACGCUCGUGAAUCUCAAAGUGGCCUAAACCAGUGAAAGAUGAUCAGCAUACGAUCAGAUUACCGAUUCUUAAAUGACGGAAGCCGUGUUUAUACUCGGUCGUAACCGUUGGAGCCUCUGAAGACUGAGCGCGAGUGUUAUAUUAAUUUCGUACUUCCGCUAGAGAAGUGUCAGCCGUCUCGUGUCUCCGCAAUUUCCGGUGGCAAAUCAUACAAAAAAAUCGUCUACAGAAAAAGGAAAUAAUUGAAAAUAGCGAACUUUAGCCCUGCUUCAGCGUUAUCGCAGGUUCAACACCGAGUAGUAAAAACUACUCAACGAUUGAAACAACCCAGCAGGUGUAAGUCAACCUUCUUGAGCACUAAAGCACAGAUAUGUUUGACUAUCUACAGCUUCAAGAGAUAGAUUGCAACAGUAACCGUAGAGCUAUUGUGAAGGGCGAUCUGCUGGUAGUGGCGAAAGCUGCGCCGGUCUUCGCAUGGCAGGACCAGGGUUCAAAUCUUAUUUGUGCCUUCAAGACUAUCCAACUGCAAGGUACCAAGAAAGCCAUUAGAUAAUUAGAUAACAAGCCUAGCAUGUUGAGCCAAGAAGAAGAUUUUAAAAUCAUGUCUCCGUCAUUACUGUUAUAAAUUCAUUGUAGCUCCUGUAAAGAUAAAGAUAUCCAGACGGUUGAUGGACCACAGAUGCUAGAGACUAUCUAUGAGGAAGGUAAUAUAAGAAGGUCCUAUCAUCCACUAUCAACCAUGAAUAUCUCAUCAUUUUAGAUUGAUUCCAUCAGCAGCUGGUUUCAUUCAUUUCAUCAGCAGGUCUUGAAGAUCUUAGAAAGUCUUGGUCGUCUGUAAACAUUAAAAGUGUCCAUAACCUUCACCGAGCCUCCAUUACGCUAGCUCGCCCAUUAGCAACCAUGUUGCAGCAAUAAAAUUAUCAAUUUAAGGUGAGUUUAAAGCUAUAUAAUCCAACACACACACUCUCCAUGUUGGUCUCUGUUGCACACUUGCUCACGUUGCACGUGCAGCUCAAACGGACCGGGCGCAACACCAAACUUCCAAACGUCACAGCAUCUUCGAAAACGGUUUGCGUGAAUGACCCAAUAACGAUUAUCUCGAAUUCGGUAGCUGCACCAUAUAACCGGCUAAUGCAAAUGUAUCCCACAAAAUUAGCAUUCCAAUAAAUUCGAAGCGCACCAUAAAUCUGUAUCGUAAACAAGGUGAGAUCGGCUAAAUCGUAUCUAAAGCCGUAGACGCCGCACACGCCGCAGCGUAAUGUGAUCCUUUUGCUCCGGGUGUGUGUGUUUGUGUGUCUGUGUGUCCAGGCGCGCGAAAAGCAAAUCAUCAGCACACACAUGCAUACAGUAAUAAACUAAACGCCGUUCAUACGCAUACGCGAGUUGAAAUGAGCAGUUAAUUAAAGUUUUAAUUGAUACUUUGCAUAUUUUUACGAGCUGCUAAUAAGGAAAGUGCAUAAUCCUCGGCACAUCUCGGCAUAUGUUCCUGGUCCCCGUGCGGUUCCACCACGACCGACCGCACGCCGCCUCCCUUCUACCAAUAUUUACGGCCCCUUUGCGGAGCAGAUUUCGCUGGUAUAGUCUGUCGAAACCGUGGUGCAAUAAAACUCCCCGUCGUCGCAUGGGCAAUAAAAAGAAAAGAGAGGAAAGAAACAACCCACCUUCGUCACCCUUGUCCCGCAAAAGCUCGGGAGAAUACGGUGCGCGCGCGCGCGCCCCUCACCAACAUUCCCCGUACACACGCAUUAGGGGUGUUGAGUGCAUUUUAUUACAUUUGCAUCCAUCAGCGCGGCAUCGCACCGGCAUCGCGAAUGGAGUGGAAUACAAUAAAACGAGAGGUGGUGGGGGCUUUGGUGGCGUGUUACACUCUCUUUGGGACGGGUUGAAAUAAAACAAAAAAAAAA